AUUGAACGCUGGCGGCAUGCCUUACACAUGCAAGUCGAACGGUAACAGGUCUUCGGAUGCUGACGAGUGGCGAACGGGUGAGUAAUACAUCGGAACGUGCCUAGUAGUGGGGGAUAACUACUCGAAAUAGUGGCUAAUACCGCAUGAGAUCUACGGAUGAAAGCAGGGGAUCGCAAGACCUUGUGCUACUAGACCGGCCGAUGGCAGAUUAGGUAGUUGGUGGGAUAAAAGCUUACCAAGCCGACGAUCUGUAGCUGGUCUGAGAGGCCGAUCAGCCACACUGGGACUGAGACACGGCCCAGACUCCUACGGGAGGCAACAGUGGGGAAUUUUGGACAAUGGGCGCAAGCCUGAUCCAGCAAUGCCGCGUGCAGGAUGAAGGCCUUCGGGUUGUAAACUGCUUUUGUACGGAACGAAAAGCCCUGGGUUAAUACCCUGGGGUCAUGACGGUACCGUAAGAAUAAGCACCGGCUAACUACGUGCCAGCCGCCGCAGUAAUAC
rnacentral:rRNA from 1 species